rnacentral:RNase_P_RNA from 1 species
UCAGAUGGCUGGAUGGCCGCUUUCGGCGGGCUGGUUCCGCUGGGGGAGGAAAGUCCGGGCUCCACGGAAACACGGUGCCGGGUAACGCCCGGCGGGGGUGACCCUAGGGAAAGUGCCACAGAAAGCAAACCGCCGGCGUCGCCCGAGUCCUCGGACGCGGGUGCCGGCAAGGGUGAAAGGGCGCGGUAAGAGCGCACCGCGCUCCCGGCAACGGGAGCGGCAUGGCAAACCCCACCGGGAGCAAGACCAAAUAGGGACGGCGAGCCGCCUUUCUCCGCACGCGGGGGAAGCGGCAGGCGGGUUUUUGAGCCGCCGUCCGGGUCGGUCGCGGGAGGCGCCCGGUAACGGGCGUCCCAGAUGAAUGGCCAUCCAUCGCCCGGGUUCGCCCGGGCGGGGACAGAACCCGGCUUACAGGCCGUCUGACGCG